ACGCACGCUGGCGGCGUGCUUCACACAUGCAGGUCGCACGGAAAGGCCCUGCUUUUGUGGGGUGCUCGAGUGGCGAACGGGUGAGUAACACGUGAGUAACCUGCCCUUGACUUUGGGAUAACUUCAGGAAACUGGGGCUAAUACCGGAUAGGAGCUCCUGCUGCAUGGUGGGGGUUGGAAAGUUUCGGCGGUUGGGGAUGGACUCGCGGCUUAUCAGCUUGUUGGUGGGGUAGUGGCUUACCAAGGCUUUGACGGGUAGCCGGCCUGAGAGGGUGACCGGCCACAUUGGGACUGAGAUACGGCCCAGACUCCUACGGGAGGCAGCAGUGGGGAAUAUUGCACAAUGGGCGGAAGCCUGAUGCAGCAACGCCGCGUGCGGGAUGACGGCCUUCGGGUUGUAAACCGCUUUCGCCUGUGACGAAGCGUGAGUGACGGUAAUGGGUAAAGAAGCACCGGCUAACUACGUG
rnacentral:rRNA from 1 species